GGAAUGCCCUAAAAGAACUCUCUUUAGCUAUAUUUCUUGGUCUUUGGAUUGAUUGGUUGUUUUUGGCCCAGAUCUCGUUUACGCUAUAAUGCAGUGAUGAAUAGCUGCCAAAAUGUUUAGUUUUGCCCUCUUUCAAGAAAAAGGCUCUCCCUGAGGAUUGUUCUCUCUGCUAGAUUAUCACAUCUCACAUUUCAAGAUUAAAAGGGAAUGAUGACACCGAUGCAGGGGUUACCUUUACUUUCUUUCAUUACCAUAAUACGGAUCGCCUCGGCACGGGAUUAUUAUUAUUGCAAGGAAGUUAGCACAACAAUCAUUGAAACCAACUAUUCGGGAAACGCUACAAAUAGUAGGGGUGACCUUCAAUUUCCAAGCUUGCCGCCAGAGGUUGCAAAAUAACUUCAGAUGCCUGUAUUGAACGCUGCUUGCGGGCCCAGCGAAUCCAACAAAGGGAGAUCUGCGCCUGUUCCGAAGAGUAAACGUUCUGUUUUUAAGAAAAUUUGAUCUGAUUUAUGAAAACCAGAUUACAAUACCUGGUGUGAUACCUGCGGUAUUGUAGAUUUCAACACAAAAAUUGACAACAAGAAGAUUGCAAGCCAAAAACUGUCUCCAUUCUAUUCAAAAUUGGAGUUUAUACAAGUCGAAUGUAUCCCAAGGGUCACACAAAUCCCUUGGAAUUGAAACGAAGAGUCACCAUAAUGUUUAUUACAAUUAAACUACUAAAACUAUCAAAAUUAUCAAAAAACUAAAUAUAAAAUUUAGUCCACUUUGAGAAGGCAUAACUUUCUCAUCCUAGCUCCGAAUUACAAACCGUUUGAUGCGUUGGAAAGGUAUUCAAAUAAUCUAGAACCAAAUUUCGGAAA